CAAGCUAAAAAUCUUUCUGGUUACUGGCUA
rnacentral:piRNA from 1 species